rnacentral:rRNA from 1 species
GACAGGGGGCCCGAGCGUUAGUCGGAAUCACUGGGCUUAAAGGGUGCGUAGGCGGACUUGUAAGUGUCGUGUGAAAGCCCACUGCUCAACGGUGGAACUGCACGGCAAACUGCAAGUCUCGAGGAAGCUAGAGGUCGCUAGAACGCUUGGUGGAGCGGUGGAAUGCGUAGAUAUCAGGAGGAACACCGGUGGCGAAGGCGGUGGUCUGGGCCGGCACUGACGCUGAGGAGCGAAAGCGUGGGGAGCGAACAGG